UAGGGAAUCUUCCGCAAUGGACGAAAGUCUGACGGAGCAACGCCGCGUGAGUGAUGAAGGUUCUCGGAUCGUAAAGCUCUGUUGCCAGGGAAGAAUAGCUAGGAGAGUAACUGCUCUUAGCGUGACGGUACCUGAGAAGAAAGCCCCGGCUAACUACGUGCCAGCAGCCGCGGUAAUACGUAGGGGGCAAGCGUUGUCCGGAAUUAUUGGGCGUAAAGCGCGCGCAGGCGGCCUUGUAAGUCUGAUGUUUAAUCUCGGAGCUCAACUCCGAUUCGCAUUGGAAACUGCAAAGCUUGAGUACAGAAGAGGAAAGUGGAAUUCCACGUGUAGCGGUGAAAUGCGUAGAGAUGUGGAGGAACACCAGUGGCGAAGGCGACUUUCUGGGCUGUAACUGACGCUGAGGCGCGAAAGCGUGGGGAGCAAACAGG
rnacentral:rRNA from 1 species